GGGGGGGGGACUUGCGUGUGGGUUAGGGCAGUGCCGGGAGGGCAUCGUCCUCUCUUCUGAGCCAGCUCUGUGAGGAGGUGACUUUCCCGAGUGGUGCAUGUGUGGGUGUGAUGAGGACAGUGAGGCCCGUUGAUCCCUUUGAGCAGACCUGCUGAGCAUGAUCUGUCCCCUCAGAAGGCACAGUGGGAAGAUGCUGUCUGCAGUGGUGUCACUGAUCCCCUGGAGGAACCCGCCCUGAAGCCCCCACUUCCGAGCCUUCCAGUUACACAAACCAGUUCGACCCCUUGUGGUUGAGCUGAGUCCUCCCCAGUGCCCUGGCCGUGUCUGCAUGCAGUUGGCAUUCGAUCUCGACACCCUUGCCAGGUUGAUUUUAGUGAGGAAGACUAUAGUCAAACCUAUUCUUUUUAAAAAAACUUUUAAUUUGUUCUUUUUAGUUAUUCAUGGCAGUAAGUGUGUUAAGCUUA
rnacentral:lncRNA from 1 species